rfam:Ovis aries breed Texel chromosome 17, whole genome shotgun sequence.
UAGCUCAGUUGGUAAAGAAUCUGCCUGCAGUGCAGGAGACCCAGGUUCGAUCCCUGG